rnacentral:rRNA from 1 species
UGGGGAAUAUUGGACAAUGGAGGAAACUCUGAUCCAGCAAUGCCGCGUGAGUGAAGAAGGCUUUCGGGUUGUAAAACUCUUUCAGUAGGGAAGAUAAUGACGGUACCUACAGAAGAAGCCCCGGCAAACUUCGUGCCAGCAGCCGCGGUAAGACGAAGGGGGCUAGCGUUGUUCGGAAUUACUGGGCGUAAAGGGUGCGUAGGCGGCCAUUCAAGUUAGGCGUGAAAGCCCAGGGCUUAACCCUGGAAUUGCGUUUAAUACUGUUUGGCUAGAGUUCGAUAGAGGGAAGUAGAAUUCCUAGUGUAGAGGUGGAAUUCGUAGAUAUUAGGAAGAAUACCAGAGGCGAAGGCGGCUUCCUGGAUCGAUACUGACGCUGAGGCACGAAAGCGUGGGGAGCAAACAGGAUUAGAUACCCCUGUAGUCC